rnacentral:rRNA from 1 species
AGUGAACGCUGGCGGUAGGCCUAACACAUCCAAGCCCAACGGCAGAAAGGUAAGAGUUGGCUCUUCGGGGUGCGGGGGGGCGUACGGUGAAGGAUACCAUCGGAUCCUACUUUUUGGUGGGGGUAACCGAGGGGAAACUUCCCCUAUCACCCAUUCCGCCCACGGGGGGAAAGCGGGGGAUUUCUGAACUUUCGCGAAUUUAUCGAGCGAUUUCGGAUUUGCCUGUUGGCGGGGUAAAGGCCCAACAAGGCGACGAUACGUAGCUGGGCUGAGGGGAUGAUCAGCCACACUGGAACUGAGACACGGUCCAGACUCCUACGGGAGGCAGCAGUGGGGAAUAUUGGACAAUGGGCGCAAGCCUGAUCCAGCCAUACCGCGUGGGUGAAGAAGGCCUUCGGGUUGUAAAGCCCUUUUGUUAGGAAAGAAAAGCAGCAGGUUAAUACCCCGCUGUUCUGACGGUACCCAAAGAAUAAGCACCGGCUAACUUCGUG